ACGCCGUCCGUGAAGUAGCAGAAGGGAGCGAGCACGUCCCCCUGAAAUUGGCCCCGCUGCGGCGGCGAGGAGCGCUGGCCGGGCACGUACCCCGCCGGUCUGCGCUGGGAUGAUGCUGGAGCAGGACACCGGCCUCUCCUUGGCCAUCGCGCAGAUCGUGCAGCGGCUGAAGGGCUCCAGCCUUCAUUCCCAGCUGGAGCGGCAGGCCCGGGGUAGUCUACACAAACCAGAAAUUAAACUUGAAUCACUAAAGGAAGAUAUUAAGGAAUUUCUGAAGACCUCAGGAUGGGAAAAGAGGCUUCAGAAUGCUGUUUAUAGUGAACUCAAUGUGUUCCCUUCACCCUGUCAUCCUGCAGCACCCCCUGAGCACAUAAAGGAACCCUUAGUUUACAUGAGGAAAGCACAGGGAAGCUGGGAGAAGCGAAUUCUGAAGAGUCUAAAUAGCAUGUGCACAGAACUCAGUAUCCCAUUAGCACGAAAGAGACCUAUAGGAGAGCAAAAAGAACUUCUUAAUAAAUGGAAUGAAAUGGGAACUGAUGAGCCAGAUCUAACUCUCUUCCGACCUGUUUAUGCACCUAAAGAUUUUCUUGAGGUACUGAUGAAUCUUCGCAACCCAAAUUAUGAAAAUGGGGAUCAGCCUAGUUUCAGAAAUCAUCUGGGUCUAAUUCAGGUUCCUCUAAAAGUUAAAGACAUCCCUGAACUGAAAGACUAUUUCAGUGAGCUAGGCUUGAAUACAGGACAGCUGGGUAUUGAUGAUUCUACAGAAGUGCCUCCAGAACUCUUUGAAAAUGAACAUAUACGUGUUGGGCAAACAGUUUUAACAGAACAAGAUAGUGCUGCAGCCCAACAGUAUGUCCGUCAGGGAUGCCCAACAGCACUCCGAGCUGAACUGUGGGCACUCAUUCUGAAUAUUUCUAAUCAGCCUGAGGACAUUUUGUACUACGAACAGCUGAAGUCCAAUGUGAUUCAGCAUGAUCUUUUAGUGGACAGCCUGAUUUACAAAGAUGUAAAGCUGACAGCAAGCAAUGAUGACUACUAUUUUGUAUUUGAGGAUUAUUUAUAUCAGGUGCUGCUCUGUUUUUCCCGAGAUACAUCAGUACUGGAGCACUUUUCUUACAAUAGCGCUACUCCACCCAAAUCAUACAUACGAGGAAAACUUGGCAUGGAAGAAUAUGCAGUUUUUUAUCCACCAAAUGGUGUAAUUCCUUUUCAUGGCUUUUCAAUGUAUGUUGCUCCACUUUGUUUUCUGUACCAUGAACCUUCCAAAUUGUAUCAGAUAUUCCGUGAGAUGUAUGUGCGUUUUUUCUUCAGACUCCAUUCCAUCUCUUCUCAUCCUUCUGGCAUUGUGUCACUAUGUUUGCUGUUUGAGACACUUCUUCAAACCCAUCUCCCUCAACUCUUCUAUCAUCUUCGAGAAAUUGGGGCGCAACCACUGCGAAUAUCGUUUAAAUGGAUGGUACGAGCAUUCUCUGGUUACUUAGCUACAGACCAGCUUCUGCUUUUGUGGGACAGAAUCCUAGGAUACAAUUCUCUAGAAAUUCUCGCUGUCCUGGCAGCUGCUGUGUUUGCUUUCCGAGCAGUGAACCUGAUGGAGGUGACAUCACUGGCUGCAGCUGAAGCUGUACUUGCUGACCUUUCAACCUUGAAGGUUAUGCCUCUUCUUCAGAUCUUCCUGUUUGCCACUGUCACUUGAUCUGCUUCAAGGUCACUGACUCGGCACAUCCAGUCUUUCAUUAGAAACUAAUAAUGAACUAUGCAACGUCUGCAUAAAACCAAAUUAGACUCGUGGAUGCGUUAUGAAGAUGGCAGUUCUUUCUUAUCCCCUAUCCCACACACUCUUUUCAAGACCUGUAUAUGUGUGGCCUCUGCUGGUCCAAGAGCUCAGGCUUCAAUUCAGCAUCCAGCUCAGAUCCCUGCAUGACUGUGUAUUGCACUGUAACUAGACCACCAGGUGGCCCAUCUUCUAUUGAUUAUAAUUUCUUUUUAUGUUUUUUUCCAGGGAUUCUGAAAUACUAAAGAGAAUCAUUAGGAUUAAUUUAUUACUUUAUUUUAAUACCUAAUAAAGGAUUAUAGUUAAAAUUGAGUGAAGUGUAUAACAUUGCAUACCCCAUGCAUUCACCGUAUCACUUUGUUUUGGAACAGUUUCUACUUUUCAAAUACAGUAUGGAUGUGUGUGGAACGUGACCCUCUGUAUUUUAAUAGAGAUCCAGCUUCCAUUUACACUAGACUGUUAUCUACAUUAUUAAUAUACAGCAUUAACAAUGCAAACAUUAGCUUUAUAUAGACCCCAAAAAACAUACUUAUACCUUGCAUAUAAAUUGGGCAUGCUGAAUGUCUGACAGUAAGGCUAUGUCUACACAGCAAUGUAAGCCCGAGCUUAAGUCUCACCCCCUUGCAUCCACACACUAAUUGUGUUAACCUAGGGCUCAAACCUAGUGUCCCAGGACUCUGCAGGGCUGGAGGGUCUGAGCCUAUGUUAAGCUGAGAUCUAGUGUCCGAACCCUAUUGCUUUCCUGUAUGCACAUAGCCUUGGUCUGACUCGAAUCCUGGAAGUCCUCUGGAUGUAUUCCAGAGAUCCUUAUGGCAACUUCCUUAGUCCUAUCUCUGCUGACAGUCUGUGGUGCAGUCUAGUGCAAAUGGAAGCCACACCUCCCUUUGUCAGUUUGAGUACAUUGACACUUCCAUUAUGAUUAUGGCCAUGCAGUCAAUCUCAAAGCAAACAUCUAACAAAAGAGUUAAUUACAAUUAUAUGAAAUUACAUAGUUUAAAAUAGUAGUAUUGCAGAAGACUAGGACCUGGCAUGUGAAUUGAAAGCUGACUAUAUUUUUCAAUGGACACACAAUUUGUGCAAGACAAAGAGUGUGGCUAAUUUUUAUGCUUUGUAUUUUUUUUUUAAUAAAUAUGUUGGAUCUCUUUAUAUAUCUACUGAUUCGGACACAAAUUAGAUUUUGGCAAGCAAGGGCUCAAUGAAAGCUCUGGGAUUUACUAAUGACUCUGUAGUUUAGUUUUAUCCAGCAGAUUUGGUGGUUCAUAGAAAGAAAUAUUUUGUACUUAUAUGGCACUUUUCAUCUGAAAAUCUGAAACUGGGAUUAGUUAUAGUUCCUAAGACCCCUUACUAAUGUUAAAUCAGUACAAAUGAACUAUAAAUAGCAGUGGUAUUUAAUUGUUUUCUAUCUGUACAGAAUUGUGUCCUAACUUUUUUGUAACUAGUGACAUGGUAUUUUCCUC